GUAUUCUCUUUUAAUUUUGUUUCAGACAAUUUGUGUAUAAAGGUGUGUUUUUUGGUUUGAAGCAGGUUCAUUUAAACCGAUAAUAAAAUAUAAAAUAUAAAAUAUCAUCGGUAAAAAACAAACCGGCAUUUGUAUAAAAUAUACCUGUAAUGAUCCUUCCGCAGGUUCACCUACGGAAA
rnacentral:misc_RNA from 1 species